ensembl:tRNA
GGUCCUGUAGUGGUUAUCACGUCUGCUUCAUACACAGAAGGUCGCCGGUUCGAACCCGGCCAGGACCU